rnacentral:rRNA from 1 species
UAGGGAAUAUUGGACAAUGGGCGAAAGCCUGAUCCAGCAACGCCGCGUGCGCGAUGACGGCCUUCGGGUUGUAAAGCGCUUUUAGGAGAGAUGAGAAAGGACAGUAUCUCCAGAAUAAGCCUCGGCGAACUACGUGCCAGCAGCCGCGGUAAAACGUAGGAGGCAAGCGUUAUCCGGAUUUAUUGGGCGUAAAGCGUGUGCAGGCGGUUUGGCAAGUUGGAUGUGAAAGCUCCCGGCUUAACUGGGAGAGGUCGUUCAAAACUGCCAGACUAGAGAAUGGAAGAGGGAGGUGGAAUUCCGGGUGUAGUGGUGAAAUGCGUAGAUAUCCGGAGGAACACCAGUGGCGAAAGCGGCCUCCUAGGCCAUUUCUGACGCUAAGACACGAAAGCUAGGGUAGCAAAC